GCCAGGUGCUCCUUACAGCUCCUCUCCAGCGUGCCCUCGCCCUUCAUGUUCCUCCUCACGUUCUCCCUCAGGAUGGAGCGGAUCACCUUGAUGAUGCUGACCUUGCUCUCGGGCACACUGAGGAGGAGAAACCAGAGCGCCGAGAGCGGGAUGAGCCAGCGGAACUUGAAGGGGUCCAAAUCUCCGUGAGAGAGCGCCGAACGAGGGUUGGCCUGGUAUUACAGGAAAAAAGCAAAAUGGGAUCAGCCCUGCUGCUUCCUUCGAGGAAUAUCCCACACAGUCCCCCCAUCAGCAAAGAAGCCAAUCUGCUUGCACUUCUCUCUCUCUACUGGGCAUUCAUCCCAAAUAGUGGCGGAAAGGCCAACAUCUGAGGAGGCAUAAAUCAACUUUAAAAUUUCUCCAGCGUCACACGCUGUGGGAGAAGCGAGAAUUAUUGUCACGGUCACACAUCUGCUGUUAGAGGACAAGGUUAUCCAAAGCCUGAGUAUUUAUAUGUGCAUGUAUUGUUUAAACAUCAUCUGUUUGAGGAGAAAAGGGCAAUAAUGCUUUGAAAGUGUAGAUCACAAACUGAAAGGUGGAGAGCCGUGUGCUCCUUCGUGCGUGGUGCUGGAGAUGGAGCGGGGCUGGUGCUAAACCGGAGAGGCAUCGCUCACCUCGCUUUCAUCCACCAUCUCACUCUGGGACAUUUACUUUCAUACAUAAUUGAUUUGCUUCCCAAAAGAGAAGGCCGAACCUUCAGCCGUGAGCUUCCUCUGACGCAACACAGGAGCAAGGAAGCUAAAUUUAGCAGAGGACCUUUUGGACCUUGAUGUGGUUGGCACAGAAGCCGCUGU